UCUCCUGUAGUAUAGUGGUGAGUAUCCCUGCCUGUAAUGUGGGAGACCAGGGUUCAAUUCCCUGACGGGGAG
rnacentral:tRNA from 1 species